GUCUUUGUGCAUUGGCAGUAUCUUAGCCAAUGAGGUUUAUCCGAGGCGAGAUUAUUGCUAAUUGGAAUUACAGAAAUCUCCC
ensembl:snRNA U4 U4 spliceosomal RNA